GACGAACGCUGGCGGCGUGCUUAACACAUGCAAGUCGAACGGAAAGGCCCUGCUUGCAGGGUACUCGAGUGGCGAACGGGUGAGUAACACGUGGGUGAUCUGCCCUGCACUUCGGGAUAAGCCUGUGAAACUGGGUCUAAUACCGGAUAGGAGCCAUUUUUAGUGUGAUGGUUGGAAAGUUUUUUCGGUGUAGGAUGAGCUCGCGGCCUAUCAGCUUGUUGGUGGGGUAAUGGGUUACCAAGGCGGCUACGGGUAGCCGGCCUGGGAGGGUGGACGGCCAUCUUGGGACUGAGGUGAGGCCCAGACUCCGACGGGAGGGAGAAGUGGGGAAUACUGCACAAUGGGCGCAAGCCUGAUGCAGCGACGCCGCGUGGGGGAUGACGGCCUUCGGGUUGUAAAAUCAUUUCGCUAGGGACGAUGCUUUUUGUGACGGUACCUAGAUAAGAAGCAACGGCUAACUACGUG
rnacentral:rRNA from 1 species